AAGAAGGAGCAGAACCAGCAGGAGUAGAGAAAAGAAUAGUGUCAAACCUUCCUCAAACUUAGUUAAAUUCAGAAGGUAUGGGUCAUGAAACUCCCUUCCUCUUCCCCUUAAGAUCAGAAACGAAAAUGAAGAAGAAAAACCAUAAGAAAAACAUUGAUCUAAAACCUAAGCCAGCUGUGAAGGAAGCUGAAAUUAACUAGGAGAACAAGCAAACAUAAGUGAAAUAAAGCCAAUUUCAGAACAUCUAACAAAUAAAUUAAAUGGAAAUAACAAAUCAUGAUAGAGGGCUGGCUUUAACUAUGGGGUGGGCCAGCAUGCAUGCGUGUGUGUUCUGCUGUGAUGUUGUUGUGCUGAAAUUAAUGUGUUCUGCUGUAAUUUAUUGAAAGAUUAUAUGUUGUAAUUGAUGGUUUUCCAUGUGUGUGUUCUGCUGGAAUUUUGUUGAAGAAUUAUGUGCUGAAAUUGAUGGUUCUAAUUUAUGGGUUGUGCAGCGAAAUUCUGUUUUGCUGCCGCAACUGAGCCUCCUGCAGCGAAUUAAUAUUCGCUGCCGAUUUAAGUGUUGUGCAGCGAAAUUCUGUUUCGCUGCCGAAACCGAACCUCCUGCAGCGAAUUGAUAUUCGCUGCCGAUUUGUGUGUUGUGCAGCGAAAUUCUGUUUCGCUGCCGAAACUGAACCUCCUGUAGCGAAUCGAUAUUCACUGCCGAUUUGUGUAUUGUGCAGCGAAAUUCUGUUUUGCUGCCGCAACUGAACCUCCUGCAGCAAAUUGAUAUUCGCUGCCGAGUUGUGCGUUGUGCAGCAAAAUUGUGGCACCAACAGCGAUGCAGUUUUCGCUGUCGAACUGGCAGCUUGCAGUGAACCAAUUCUCGGUCCCGAAUUGGGUAGCCUGCAGCGAACCAGUUUUCGUUGCCGAACUAGCUGCCGACAGCGAAACAAGUGUCACUGCCAAACUGGCAGCCAGCGGCGAACUAGUUCUCGCUACCGAAUUGGGCAGCCCGCAACGAACCAGUUCUCGCUGUUGAUUUCUACAAUAAGCCUCCUAGGCAGGACUGACUUAAAUGCUAGUAACAAUUUCAUGAUAUAAUGGUGUAAAAUAUGGAACACAUGAAUGUGAACAUAUGAACUCUUGAAAUAAGUGUGAUGAUGAAUAUGAUUCAAAAAUAAAAUAAAUACAACUGUGCUGAUUUGUGACCAUUGAUGUCUUAGGUGGUGCGGUCGGGAUUAAACCAUCAUCAAGACAGGAACAACCCACAGGUGGAGCAGGUAGGUCACUUGCACCUUUCUUUUUCAUACGUUGAAUAUUGAAAUAUUUAACUUGAGUAUUACCAUAUUGUUAGAACCGAUAUUAGAUUGUCGAACGCUUAAAUGUUGACUAAUGGUUGAUUAGCUUCGGCUAAUGGCAUCCGAAUGGAUGACCGGGAUGAUGGACUGAUUAGCUUCGGUUAAUGGCAUCCGAACGGAUGACCGGGAUAAAGAAUGAUUAGCUUUGGCUAAUGGCAUCCGAACGGAUGUCCGGGAUAAAGAAUUAUUAGCUUUGGCUAAUGGCAUUCGAAUGGAUGGCCGGGAUGAAGGACGGAUUAGCUUCGCCUAAUGGCAUCCGAACAGAUGGCUGGGACAAAGAAUGAUUAGCUUUGGCUAAUGGCAUCCGAACGGAUGGCCGGGAUGAAGAAUGAUUAGCAUUGGCUAAUGGCAUCCGAAUGGAUGGCCGGGAUGAAAGACAUGAAUAAAUUAUAAAUGUUAAUGCUUCAUUUAACUGCCAGACCGUUAGUACCAUUAUUAUUAUUAUUAAGUAUUUGCAUUCUCUUAAAUGUUUUGUACUAUUGCAGGGACGUCACACCAAUGAGAGGUCUAGGAAACCUGAUACAUGGGAACCUACUUUUGCAAGGAAUCAUGUAGAUGCUUUCUAAAUCACCAUAUAUUUUGUAGGGAUCAAUGUACUGAAUGUAUAACUUUUAAUAGAUCCUUUUUCUUAAUUAUGUGAUGGCUAUUAGUAGGAUAGGAAUGCAAACUCAUGUCUAUGUAUAUAUUUUUAAUAUGAACUUCAAAUAAUGCAACCUUAAUAUUACGUGUUUGUGUAAGAUUCACUUUUAAAUGAAAUGUUGAUUGUAUGGAUUGUAUUUUGAUGAGGUGAGGAUUCAAGUUCUUUGAUUACCGGCACCAUAUGUAUUAAAUAUAUAUAUAUAUAUAUAUAUAAAAUUAUUGUUGAUUUGGGCUUGGAAAGCCGGGUUGUUACAGUUGGUAUCAGAGCACUUGGUUUAGAUCCUGAGGAUCAUUAAUAAAUGUGUUGUUGCGAUAAAUUUCAGGAUGGUACGCACCCGACAAGGGACACGAACUGAGCCACCCUCCUUAGAAAGGAGGGGCAUGAACCAAGGUGCCCAAGGUUGGCAAGACAAAGAUCCCUUGGAUGAUACGGCAUCUCAUGCUCCGAUAAUACCACCCGAAACCUUGCAGGGGGAAGAUACGGUGGCGGGGGAAGGCCCGAGGCCUAAUCAGACAGAGGGAACACCCCCAGUCGCAACAGAGCAGCGAGAAAGAUCAGAAGCACAACCAUCUACUGUUCCAACUGGUGUGCCCCCACAAUAUGUAGAUGCGGGACUCCUUGUACAAAUAGUUAAAGCAGUGAUGGAGGGCAUGGCUAGUUCAGCGGCACAAACAACUCCCACCACGCAGAUUCCACCAGCAGCCCCUACGACUAGCAUGAUGGAUAAUGUGGUACCACUGGUGCGACUAGUCAAGAGUAUGAGGGAAAUGGGCUGUGAACCGUACAUGGGGGAACAAGAUGCAGAGAUAGCUGGAAGAUGGAUCAGGAAGGUAGAAAAGACAAUGAUUCAAAUAAGCAUACCCGAGGGUUUGAGGGUAAAUUGUGCAUCCCAGUUACUGUCUGAUAGGGCCAUGACAUGGUGGGAAACAGUUCAGCUGAGGCGUGCGACUGAGACACUAACUUGGAGUGAUUUCAAGACAGAGUUUGAGAAUCAGUUUUAUUCCAAGUAUCAUCGCAAGGUGAAAGAACAAGAGUUCUUGGCAUUGAGACAGGGUGAUAUGUCAGUAUUGGAGUACGAAAGGAGAUUCAUGACCUUUCAUUGUUCGCCCCACAUUAUGUGCCGACAGAGGAACAUAUGAUUGAAAAGUUGAGAGAUGGGUUACGACAGGAUUUGAGACAAGGAUUGAUCGCCUUGCGAUUUAAAUCGGUGAGGGAGUUGAUUGAGGCUGCACAAGCUCUGGAGGCAUGUAUUGGAGAAAGCCAAGGGGGGUAUCAGAGUAUAAGCAAAAAGAGAGAUGGGGACUAUUUCAGCGGCAGACCACCGCACCCGAAGAAAGGAAAAAGUGGAGUGUUUGAGCAGCACGGAAAAAAGGGGAGUUUGAUAUUACCGCCUCACCAGCAAUCAAGUGGGAGAGUAAUGGUUGGACAGUCGCACUCGAGGGCAAACUCUUCUACUGGGAUCGGUGACCGCAAGGGUGUUGACUAUCCUUUUUGUGUAAAGUGUGGACAAAAACACCCUGGGGAUUGCUCAGUUUCCCCCGGGCGAUGUUUUGUGUGCAGAGGAGAGGGCCAUAGGUGGAGGAAUUGUCAGUAUCUUAAUCAGGGGUGUCAUUACUGUGGUGGAAGAGGUCAUUACAAGAGGGACUGCCCCAAGAGGAACACUGGACAAGUACAGAGCUACAGACAGCCGAGUCAGAGCCACCAGCAGUCAGUCACCGUUAAUAGGCCAGUGAGAUCUUCUCAAUCAGGGGCAAACUCCAGUCGAGGGAAGACGAGGGCACAAAAUGAUCGGACCUCGGGGAGGGUCUUCCACCUGACACAGGAGGAGGCCAGGGCUGCAUCAGAUGUGGUGGCAGGUACACUUCUAUUGAAUGGUUUUAAUGUGCAUGUGUUGUUUGAUCCGGGUGCCACCCACUCAUUCAUUGCUAAGAGAAUUGUCACUAAAUUGAGAAAGGAAGUAAAAAUGGUAGAGAAGGGGUUUGUAAUUGGAACUCCAAUGGGAAACAUGGUUGAAACAAAUAUUGUAUAUGUGGAUGUGGGGGUUAGUUUAUCCGGGUAUGAAACAGAAGUAGAUUUGAUUCCCUUAGAGCUGCAUGAUUUUGACAUAAUACUAGGCAUGGAUUGGUUGAGUAAAUACAAAGCACUAAUAGAUUGUUAUGCGAAAACUGUCACUUUCCAAACACCUAAGGGCGAGAAAAUAACUUUUGAAGGAGAGAGACUUCCCAAACUGAAUGCUUUAAUAUCGGUGGUAACAGCCCAAAAACUUUUAAGAAAGGGAUGUAUGGGUUACCUCGCAUACAUCUUAAACUCUAAUGAUGAAGGUCCACGAUUGAAGGAUAUUCCUGUGGUGAAGGAUUUCCCAGAUGUGUUUCCAGAAGAACUACCAGGACUACCCCCGGAGCGAGAGGUAGAGGUGUCUAUAGACACUUUUCCUGGAGUUCCACCUAUAGCCCAACAACCGUAUCGGAUGGCUCCAGCAGAACUGAACGAGUUAAAGACUCAAUUACAGGAAUUAUUAGACAAAGGGUUCAUACGGCCCAGUAAUUCUCCUUGGGGAGCACCGGUCCUAUUUGUAAGAAAGAAAGAUGGAACCCAUAGGCUUUGUAUUGACUAUCGACAGUUGAACAAAGUAACAAUGAAAAACAAGUAUCCGUUACCUCGGAUAGAUGAUUUGUUCGACCAAUUAAAGGGAGCGAGGGCAUUCUCGAAGAUAGAUCUGAGAUCAGGGUACUAUCAGAUGAAGAUUAAAGAAGCGGAUGUAGCAAAGACCGCAUUUAGAACUCGUUACGGACACUAUGAAUUUUUGGUGUUACCGUUCGGGUUGACGAACGCCCCAGCUCUCUUCAUGGAUUUGAUGAAUCGGGUUUUCCAACCAUACCUGGAUAAGUUUGUGGUGGUAUUCAUUGAUGAUAUACUGGUGUACUCGAAUUCUUUCAAGGAGCACGAAGAACACUUGAGACAAACCUUACAAACCUUGAGAGAUCACCAGCUAUAUGCAAAACUGAGUAAAUGUGAAUUUUGGCUGAAAAGAGUGAUGUUUUUGGGACAUGUCAUAUCAGCCGAAGGUGUUUUUGUCGACCCUCAAAAAGUCGAAGCAGUCGUGAAAUGGGAAAGACCGACUUCGGUCACUGAAAUACGUAGUUUCCUGGGACUUGCAGGAUACUAUCGGAGAUUUAUCGAAGGUUUUUCCCUGAUUGCAACCCCUUUGACCCAGCUAACUAGGAAGGAUAAGAAAUGGGUGUGGUCAGAAGAAUGUGAGGCAAGCUUCCAAGAAUUGAAGAGGAGGCUCACCACUGCUCCAGUCUUAACUCUUCCCUCAGGGACCGAGGGUUUUGUGGUAUAUAGUGAUGCCUCGGGGAAGGGAUUGGGGUGUGUUUUGAUGCAACAUGGGAAGGUGAUCGCCUAUGCAUCAAGGCAAUUAAAGACUCAUGAGGUGAACUACCCGGUGCACGACCUGGAGUUGGCAGCUGUAGUAUUUGCCUUGAGGAUAUGGAGACACUAUUUGUAUGGGUCUCGAACCCAAAUUUUUACUGAUCAUAAGAGCCUGAAGUAUCUGAUGUCGCAAAAGGAGUUGAACAUGCGGCAAAGAAGGUGGAUAGAGCUCAUUAAGGAUUAUGAUUGCACCAUAGAAUACCACCCGGGGAAAGCAAACGUGGUGGCAGAUGCCCUCAGUCGCAAAGGUAAAGCCUCCUUGGGAAGCUUAACAGUGGGAAAGGAGCGGCAAUUGGCAGAAUUAAAAGAGUUGGGUGCAGAUUUGGGAAUUGAUGCAAGAGGUGGGUUAGUAGCCCAAUUAUUGGUGCGACCAACGUAUCGAGAACAUAUACUACAUGCCCAAUUCCAUGACAAGGUGGGGUCCAAGAUUAGGAAGAAUGUGGAGGCCGGGGUAGAAAUGAAAUUCCGAGUAGCGGAUGAUGGAUCCUUGAUGAUGGGACAACGGUUGUACGUGCCUGAUGACGAAACAGUCAAACGAAUGGUUCUACAAGAAGCACAUGAGUCCAAAUUCUCCAUACAUCCUGGCAGCACUAAGAUGUAUCGAGACCUGAAACACCUCUAUUGGUGGCCAAUAUGAAAAGGGAAAUAGCUGAGUAUGUGUCAAAGUGUGGGAUAUGUCAACAAGUCAAGGUUGAACACCAAAGGCCUGCGGGACCAUUACAACCAUUACAAAUUCCAGAAUGGAAGUGGGAGAUGAUCACCAUGGAUUUCGUGUCAGGAUUUCCCAAAGGGAGAAAAGGAAAUGAUGCGAUAUGGGUCAUUGUAGAUCGGUUGACGAAAUCCGCACUAUUCUUGCCCGUAAAGAUGACCGACUCGGUGGACAAGCUUGCCAAGAUCUACAUAAAUGAGGUGGUACGACUUCAUGGGAUUCCGGUGUCCAUUGUAUCGGAUCGAGAUCCCAGGUUCACCUCUCGACUUUGGCCGAGCAUACAACAUGCCUUGGGGACAAGGUUGGACAUGAGCACUGCGUUUCACCCUCAAACGGAUGGCCAAUCGAAAGAGUCAUCCAAGUCUUGGAAGACCUAUUACGGGCCUGUGUGCUAGAAUUUGGAGGAAACUGGGAGGAACACAUGGCAUUGGUGGAGUUCACGUAUAACAAUAGUCAUCAAGCCACAAUAGGGAUGGCCCCGUAUGAAGCCUUGUAUGGUAGGAGGUGCAGAACUCCUUUGUGUUGGGAGGAAAUUGGGGACCGGAAGUUAUAUGGCGCAGAGUUGGUCCAAGUUACCACGGAGAAAGUGAGAACUAUCAGGGAUCGCAUCAAAGCCGCGCAGGAUAGACAGAAGAAGUAUGCCGAUGUGAGGAGAAGACCUCUCGAGUUCAGUAUGGGGGACCAGGUGUUCCUGAAGGUAGCCCCAUGGAAGAACAUGUUACGGUUUGGGUUGAAAGGGAAGUUAACUCCCCGUUUCAUCGGACCCUUCAAAAUCUUACAACGAGUUGGACCAGUAGCCUACAAGGUGGAUUUGCCCCCACAGUUAGCCAGGGUCCAUGAUGUGUUCCAUGUCUCCUUGUUAAGGAAGGCUGACGUAGACCCCGCCCGAGUUCUACCCCAGGUCCAGUAGAAGUCAAGGAAGACUUAACACUGGAAUUGAGGCCCAUAAGGAUACUAGAUCAAGAAGUGAAGGAGUUACGGAGCAAAAAGAUCCCCAUCGUCAGAAUCUUAUGGCGAAAUGCUCAAGUAGAAGAGGAAACUUGGGAGAGGGAGGUUGCGAUGAGGAAAAAGUACCCCAAUUUAUUUGAACUACCAGGUAUGGAGUGUGAAACUUCUUAAAUUUCGAGGACGAAAUUCAUAUUUAGGAGGGGAGUAUGUAAACACCCAAAGGAAAAUAUAUAUAUAUAUAUAUAUAUAUAUAGAGAGAGAGAGAGAGAGAUGAUGAUGAAUGCAGUUUUCGCUGCCGAUGCGGAAAUCGGCAGUGACGCAGUUUUCGCUGCCGAUUCUGGAUUUGACAACGACGCAGCCUUCACCACUACCGAUACAGAAAUCGGCAACGACAUAGUUUUUCGUUGCCCAUUUCAUGAUCGGCAGCGAUGCAGUUUUCGCUGCCAAUUUCUCAAUCAACAAUGACGCAGAGCUGGGAGGGAGGGGUAAAACCGGUUUUAGAUAAACCAAAACAAGGAUAAGAACACACCUAAACCAACCCCCAAACAACCCAUUUCUUUUGAUGGGGAGUAUAAAUACAAGGAGAAGAGAGAGAAUGAUCCAUCUUCUUCCCAAACCAGCAGCUGCAUGCCGUUCUUCCCUUCCCCUUUCACAACAGAAACUUAAAUCAAACCAGUAGAGAAUGCUUUGUGAACUUGUGAGGGAGAGAUGAGACCUUGAGAGAGGAGUGGGCAGCUGCAUAGAGGAGAGAAAAAAGAGAGCUGGAAAACGUGAGAGGAAGGUAUGGGUCAUGAAACUCCCUUCCUCUUCCCCUUAAGAUCAGAAACGAAAAUGAAGAAGAAAAACCAUAAGAAAAACAUUGAUCUAAAACCUAAGCCAGCUGUGAAGGAAGCUGAAAUUAACUAGGAGAACAAGCAAACAGAAGUGAAAUAAAGCCAAUUUCAGAACAUCUAACAAAUAAAUUAAAUGGAAAUAACAAAUCAUGAUAAAGGGCUGGCUUUAACUAUGGGGUGGGCCAGCAUGCAUGCGUGUGUGUUCUGCUGUGAUGUUGUUGUGCUGAAAUUAAUGUGUUCUGCUGGAAUUUAUUGAAAGAUUAUAUGCUGUAAUUGAUGGUUUUCCAUGUGUGUGUUCUGCUGGAAUUUUGUUGAAGAAUUAUGUGCUGAAAUUGAUGGUUCCAAUUUGUGGGUUGUGCAGCGAAAUUCUGUUUUGCUGCUGCAACUGAGCCUCUUGCAGCGAAUUAAUAUUCGCUGCCAAUUUGUGUGCUGUGCAGCGAAAUUCUGUUUCACUGCUGCAACCGAACCUUCUGUAGCGAAUUAAUAUUCGCUGUCGAUUUGUGUGUUGCGCAGCAAAACUCUGUUUCGCUACCGAACCUGUGUCAGCUGCAGCGGAUUAAUAUUCGCUACCGAUUUGUGUGUUGUGCAGCGAAACUCUGUUUUGCUGCCGAAACUGAGCCUUCUGAAGCGAAUUAAUAUUCGCUGCCGAUUUGUGUCUUGUGCAGCGAAAUUCUGUUUCGUUGCCGCAACUGAACCUCCUGCAGAGAAAUUCUGUUUCGCUGUUGAAACUGAACCUCCUGCAGCGAAUUGAUAUUCGCUGCUGAUUUGUGUGUUGGGCAGCGAAAUUCUAUUUCGCUGCCGAAACCGAACUUCCUGCAGCGAAUUGAUAUUUGUUGCCGAUUUGUGUGUUCCGCAGCGAAAUUCUGUUUCGCUGCCGAAACCGAACCUCCUGCAGCGAAUCAAUAUUCGUUGCCGAUUUGUGUAUUGUGCAACGAAAUUAUGUUUCACUGCCGCAACUGAACCUCCUGCAGUGAAUUGAUAUUCGCUACCGAUUUGUGUGUUGUGCAAUGAAAUUCUGUUUCACUGCCGAAACUGAACCUCCUACAGCGAAUUGAUAUUCGCUGCGGAGUUGUGCGUUGUGCAGCGAAACUGAGGCACCAACAGCGAUGCAGUUUUCACUGCCGAAUUGGCAGCUUGCAGAGAACCAAUUCUCGCUGCCGAAUUGGGCAGCCUGCAGCGAACCAGUUUUCGCUGCCAAACUGGCUGCCGGCAGCGAAAUAGUUGUCGCUGUCGAACUGGCAACCUGCGGCGAACUAGUUCUCGCUGCCGAAUUGGGCAGCCCGCAGCGAACCAGUUCUUGCUGCCGAUUUCUACAAUAAGCCUCCUAGGCAGGAAUGACUUAAAUGCUAGUAACAAUUUUAUGAUAUGAUGGUGUAAAAUAUGGAACACUUGAAUGUGAACAUAUGAACUCUUGAAAUAAGUGAUGAUGAAUAUGAUGCAAAAAUAAAAUAAAUACAACUGUGCUGAUUUGUGACCAUUGAUGUCUUAGGUGGUGCGGUCGGGAUUGGACCAUCAUCAAGACAGGAACAACCCACAGGUGGAGCAGGUAGGUCACUUGCACCUUUCUUUUUCAUACGUUGAAUAUUGAAAUAUUUAACUUGAGUAUUACCAUAUUGUUAGAACCGAUAUUAGAUUGUUGAACACUUAAAUGUUGACUAAUGGUUGAUUAGCUUCGGCUAAUGGCAUCCGAAUGGAUGACCAGGAUGAUAGACUGAUUAGCUUCGGUUAAUGGCAUCCGAACGGAUGGCCGGGAUAAAGAAUGAUUAGCUUUGGCUAAUGGCAUCCGAAUGAAUGGCCGGGAUGAAGGACUGAUUAGCUUCGGCUAAUGGCAUCCGAACGGAUGGCCAGGAAAAAGAAUGAUUAGCUUUGGCUAAUGGCAUCCGAAUGGAUGGCCGGGAUGAAGAACUGAUUGGCUUCGGCUAAUGGCAUCCGAACGAAUGGCCGGGAUGAAGAAUGAUUAGCAUUGGCUAAUGGCAUCCGAAUGGAUGGCCGGGAUGAAGGACAUGAAUAAAUUAUAAAUGUUAAUGCUUCAUUUAAUUGUCAGACCGUUAGUACCAUUAUUAUUAUUAUUAAGUAUUUGCAUUCUCUUAAAUGUUUUGUACUAUUGCAGGGACGUCACACCAACGAGAUGUCUAGGAAACCUGAUACACGGGAACCUACUUUUGCAAGGAAUCAUGUAGAUGCAUUCUAAAUCACCAUGUAUUUUGUAGGGAUCAAUGUACUGAAUGUAUAACUUUUAAUAGAUCCUUUUUCUUAAUUAUGUGAUGGCUAUUAGUAGGAUAGGAAUGCAAACUCAUGUCUAUGAAUAUAUUUUUAAUAUGAACUUCAAAUCAUGCAACCUUAAUAUUA
rnacentral:lncRNA from 1 species